rfam:Brassica napus, WGS project CCCW01000000 data, contig: 10419
GGAAUAUAAGAACCCGUCUCUUAACUUUUAACUAAAAAAGUUAAGAACCGGUUCUUAAAUCUCUUAUUUAAGAGUCGGUUCUUAGCUUUUUUAGUUAAAAGUUAAGAGAUGAAUUCUUAUAUUUC